GAUGAACGCUGGCGGCGUGCCUAAUACAUGCAAGUCGAGCGAACAGAUGAGGAGCUUGCUCCUCUGACGUUAGCGGCGGACGGGUGAGUAACACGUGGAUAACCUACCUAUAAGACUGGGAUAACUUCGGGAAACCGGAGCUAAUACCGGAUAAUAUAUUGAACCGCAUGGUUCAAUAGUGAAAGACGGUUUUGCUGUCACUUAUAGAUGGAUCUGCGCCGCAUUAGCUAGUUGGUAAGGUAACGGCUUACCAAGGCAACGAUGCGUAGCCGACCUGAGAGGAUGAUCGGCCGCACUGGAACUGAGACACGGUCCAGACGCCUACGGGAGGCAGCAGUAGGGAAUCUUCCGCAAUGGGCGGAAGCCUGACGGAGCAACGCCGCGUGAGUGAUGAAGGUCUUCGGAUCGUAAAACUCUGUUAUUGGGGAAGAACAAAUGUGUAAGUAACUAUGCACGUCUUGACGGUACCUAAUCAGAAAGCCACGGCUAACUACGUG
rnacentral:rRNA from 1 species